CGCUCUCAUAAAAGAGAAUUGGGGAUAAGCGUUUCACUGAGAAUUUACAUCAAAUUUCGAGUUGCGUGCAGCUACGAAAUCACAUGAGGAUUGUUUAUACAUUACGAAAUCCGAAGGAAGGCUUGUUUCGUUCUUCAAUUUCAUAAAAGAAUUUCCUAACGAGGGCGAGCUAGCGAGAUUUACAAUCAACGAUUGGAACAAAUAUUUUGAAGAAGCAAUAAAAGCCGUAUCCCUUUGGCCUGCAAAAAGAAGAAACAUAUUUCGAUCACAUCCUAUUUUGGCUGGCGCAUAUAAAAAACAACAACAACGCAAUAUU